GGGAAGGGGAAUCCGGCCAGGAGGUCGGUCACUGGACGGCCACCGGAGGCUCGCCGGCACCGGCGCCGGCCACCGCACGCGGUGGCCGGAAAAGGUAAAAAUUUAUAUUUUUUUUAUUGUUUAUUUUUUUGUAUUUUCUUUUAUGUUUUAAUAUAUGUAUAGGUUAAAAAAACUUAAAACCGAAUUUAAAAUAGAAAAAAAAAAGAAAUCACCUUAGGGUUUUUUUAAGCUUUUAAUCCUUUGAUCUUGGUGUUUUGAUAAUAUUCAAUACUGAUCUAUUGUUGCUCCUGAAAACUAAUCUGUAUUCUCUGCUUCUUUGUUUUUAAACUGCCGAAAAUAAGAAAAAGAAAAAAAUAGAAAAAAAAGACCCCCUUUGAAUCUAUUUGAAUGAAUAUCAAAAACGAAAAAAAAGAAGCCAACCCCUUUUACAUUGAUUCUUUUUCGGCUUUUAUAGCCGAUUACAUGUGAUUUUCACUGCUCUCUGCUUGUUUUGCUUUUGUUUUGCAUGUUUCUCCAUUCAUUUCCUGUCUUCUUCUGUUUAUUCUUUCCCCCAUCCCUCGCAUGCUGUUGUUUUUGUCUCUAUUACAGGUGUGUCAGGUGUGGGUGGUGUCAGACGCAUGGAGGAGAAGGGCAUGCGCGGGGUGUGGUGGUGGUGCGCAAGGUGGCCCAUGGUUGGCCUAGCGUGCGGCGGCUGGAGGCUUGGGGAGCUGCUAGGGUUUCCUCUUUUUUUUGGAAAAUGUUUAGUGGGCUAGGUUGAUUUGGGCCUGUUGGGCUAGUCUUUUAGUUUUGUACUUUGGACUUUAUUUAUUUGGUUUAUUGGGUUUUGUUAUUGGGUUUUGGGGGUGGCCCAAAAUUGGCCUGUACA
rnacentral:lncRNA from 1 species